rnacentral:rRNA from 1 species
UGGGGAAUUUUGGACAAUGGGCGAAAGCCUGAUCCAGCAAUGCCGCGUGUGUGAAGAAGGCCUUCGGGUUGUAAAGCACUUUUGUCCGGAAAGAAAUCCUUGGCUCUAAUACAGUCGGGGGAUGACGGUACCGGAAGAAUAAGCACCGGCUAACUACGUGCCAGCAGCCGCGGUAAUACGUAGGGUGCAAGCGUUAAUCGGAAUUACUGGGCGUAAAGCGUGCGCAGGCGGUUUGCUAAGACCGAUGUGAAAUCCCCGGGCUCAACCUGGGAACUGCAUUGGUGACUGGCAGGCUAGAGUAUGGCAGAGGGGGGUAGAAUUCCACGUGUAGCAGUGAAAUGCGUAGAGAUGUGGAGGAAUACCGAUGGCGAAGGCAGCCCCCUGGGCCAAUACUGACGCUCAUGCACGAAAGCGUGGGGAGCAAAACAGGAUUAGAUACCCUGGUAGUCCACGCCCUAAACGAUGUCAACUAGUUGUGGGGAUUCAUUCCUUAGUAACGUAGCUAACGCGUGAAGUUGACCGCCUGGGGAGUACGGUCGCAAGAUUAAAACUUAAAUGAAUUGACGGGGUCAUAGCUG